CAGUAGCCGCGGUAAUACGGUGGGGGCUAGCGUUGUUCGGAAUUACUGGGCGUAAAGCGCACGUAGGCGGCUUGGUAAGUUAGAGGUGAAAGCCUGGAGCUCAACUCCAGAAUUGCCUUUAAGACUGCCGAGCUAGCAGGUGAGAGAGGUAAGUGGAAUUCCGAGUGUAGAGGUGAAAUUCGUAGAUAUUCGGAAGAACACCAGUGGCGAAGGCGGCUUACUGGCUCAUACUGGACGCUGAGGUGCGAAAGCGUGGGGAGCAAACAGGAUUAGAUACCCGUGUAGUCCCUGUCUCUUAUAA
rnacentral:rRNA from 1 species